GGGCAACAGGUGCACGAGGACACUCAGGGCUUUAAAAAAGUAAAAUGGCGGUGGUGCCGAGUCACUCUGGACAGACACAGGACAGACAGAGGACAGGCAGAGGACAGGCAGAGGACAGGCAGAGGACAGACAGAGGACAGUUUACGGAACAGCGGGGAUUGACGUUUAAAAGGACAAACGAGGGAAUGAUUGUUUGAAACCGCAGCAGAGAAACAACAGGGAGAAGAAGCAGCUUCUCCUUCAGCUCAACUCACAACGUAAAGAUCCAUGAAGUGACAGAUGCACACGGUGGUGUAGUGGUUAGCGCUCUUUGGUUUGAGCCCCGGUCAGAACACGGACCUUUCUGCAUGGAGGUCACAUGUUCUCUCCGCGUGUGUGUGUGUGUGUGUGUGUGUUCUUCCUCCUCCCACUCUAAAUUGAGCCUAGGUGUGAGAGUGAAUGGUUGUCUCUGUGUGACCCCGCCCAUCGCACAGCGCCCCCUGUGACCGUCAUCAUUUAAUAAACAGUCAUUAAGAGCAGAGACGCAUGUUUCUCUCUCAGCUCAGGCUCUUACUUUACUUUACUUUACUUUACUUUACUUUACUUUACUUUACUUUACUUUACUUUACUUUACUUUACUUUACUUUACUUGGAAAGACAUGUCAAAGUAAUUUAAAUAAAACAACAUGUGCCGUCACUGCUCUGCAAAUUUAACUGACAAACAAGAGAAACAAGCCCACGUUUCAACUCACAGAUACGCUGCUCUCUCACUCACCCUCUCACUCUCACUCACCCUCUCACCUGAGGGGACAUCACUCACUCUCACCCUCACACCUGAGGGGACAUCACUCACUCUCACUCUCGCACUAUCACUCUCACCCUCACACCUGAGGGGACAUCACUCACUCUCACCCUCACACCUGAGGGGACAUCACUCACUCUCACCCUCACACAUGAGGGGACAUCAGUCACCCUCACCCUCACCCUCUCACUCAUCACUCACCUUCCUGAGAGAGUGAGCCGACCAGCAGCGUCAGGUACACGAGCCACAGCGAGCUCCAGAAUCCUGUUGUCCCCAUGUUGGUCCAGAGGACUUCACCUGUUUGAGAGGACUCACCUGGACCACAGCGGCUUUUAUAAGGUGUCAGUGAAGGCGGGCCACAGAGGGAGAGAGGGCGUGUCCAGUAGCCACUCAUCCUUUACAUAAAUAUCCAACACGGCACAAAAGAAUUCGAUGAAAGAGGAGGAGGAAGAGGAGGCACUGACGUCCACUACAGUAAAACACCACAGAAGAAGACGGAGGAAGAGUUUUCUGAAGGUGUCGUACGUGGUUGUAUUUCAGAUUCUUUCAGUGAACUUGCUGUUGAUUUCCAGAUCUUUGAGAACUCACACUCUGACUUCCACUGUGUUAAUGCGGCGUCUUUAAAUCAGAGUGUUGUCGUGGGUCAGUCGCCAUCGUUUGCUUUUAUUGACGCACUGACUUAGACAAAUGUUAAAUUAAGUAAAUAUCCUUGUUUACCGAGGCUAUGAAUACUUUCCACCCAUGAUCCUGUGAAAGCUCUGACUCUCGGAUGUGUGCUGUGUGGCACCGCCUUGCUCAAAGGCACUGUGUCACCCUGGGAGUGUUUGUCCAGGACUCUGCGUGUGUGUGAGUUCCACCCCUGGUCAAGUUCAGCUCAAACAUGCACUGUGGUUUAUUUAAUGUUGAAUUCAGGUUUUUCAUAUCGCGCGUCAUCUCCUCUCGUCUUCCAGGAUGAAACAUGGUGACGAGUGUGUUUACGACUGUUCACACAGCAAACACGUUAGCGUCUGUCUCUAACCAUUCUGAGUCCAACUUUAAUCUGGACACGUCAAGGUUAAUCUGGACACUUCAAGGUUAAUCUGCACACGUCAAGGUUAAUCUGGACAUGUCAAGGUUAAUCUGGACAUGUCGUGGUUAAUCUGGACAUGUCGUGGUUAAUCUGGACAUGUCGUGGUUAAUCUGGACAUGUCAAGGUUAAUCUGGACAUGUCGUGGUUAAUCUGGACAUGUCGUGGUUAAUCUGGACAUGUCAAGGUUAAUCUGGACAUGUCGUGGUUAAUCUGGACAUGUCGAUUUUAAUCUGGACAUGUUGAGGUUAAUCUGGACAUGUAGACUUUAAUCUGGACUCAUCGACUUUAAUCUGGACAUGUCGUGGUUAAUCACGUCAGAACAAAGGUUCUGUAAAAGUUGCUCUGAAGACAGUGAAGACAUUGCUGUGGCGUCUUCUGUCCCUCUCUGUAGCCGUUUAUCAGAUUAUGGAGGAGUUUUGGACCUGAACAGUGUUCACUGUGCGUCGCUGACUGAGGUUUAUUAAGAAUCGUAAAGUGUCGAUGACUGCUGACUUACAUUUAUACUUUGAUUUCACCGAGUAGGAAAAGGGCUUUUGUUCAUUCUGCACCUUCGGCAACUUUCAUGUUUUCUUGUUUUAUGUUGAGAUAUCGUGUUUCCUGUUUUAACGCGUUAUAACAGGAAACCAUUAUCUUUACAAAACACAAUUGUAAUGAAAUGAUAUAAUAUGGAAGUAUCUGUCGGCUGCAGGUCACUCCUGUACACGUGAAAGUGUGUGUACAUGACGGGUGUGGUGGGCGGAGCCCCAAUGAGCGGUGGAGUGUAAAAUACUCCGAAAUGUCACGCUGUGAGAAAACACUCACAGUUGACACAGGAAUGGGAGGAGUCUGGUUGCUUGGAGUCAUGUGAUCUGGCCUUUAAAUAAACGACCUGAGUUGCUGGAGGACAAUUUCAACAAAACACACGUGAACACUGAACUUCCUGCUCAGCGUCAGAGAAACGUAUUUAAAUAUCUUUGAAAAGAGUUUAAACCAAAGUGAUUGACAGCUUUUAGAGUCAGGAGGAAGAAGCACUUUCAUUUAAGCAUUUAGUCACUUUAUGUCUGUGAUCUCGACGUCACAUGGUCACGUCUUUAUCUCACUGUUACACAGAAGUUUGUAAACCACACACACACACACACACACACACACACACACACUUACCCUUCAGUGUUUGAAAUCUAACGUUCAGAUUGACCUCAGUGACACAAAGUGACCACAGGAGGCAGCAGAGGAGCAGCAGCUACAAUCACUGAUUUACUCUCUGGACUUUGCUGUGUGUGUGUGUGUGUGUGUGUCUCUCUCUCUCUCUCUCUCCCUCCCUCUCUGUGUGUGUGUGUGUGUGUGUGUGUGUGUGUCUCUCUGUGUGUUCCAAAAACCUGACUGACUGAAUGUUAUGAGGCUGAUUGACACUUGCCCAAAGCAGUAAACAUGGUCUAGUGCAUUUCUUUUUUUUGGUUUCGAUUCUGGUUUUAUAUCUUGGAUUAAGUUGCUUUAUGCCAGCCCAGUUGCUUCAGUCCACACAAACGGGUUCCAAUCUGCCCCAUUUCCCCUUUAUCGAGGAACCAGACAGGGCUGCCCUCUUUCCCCCCUCUUAUUUGCUCUAGCUAUCUGGCUGCGUCAGGAGGGUGGGUUUGAGGGCAUCACCUGAGCUGGGAAGAUUCACAAAUGAUCACUGUAUGCCGACGACCUCCUUUUCUAUAUGUCCAAUCCUGCUGCCUCUCUCCCCGUGGUUCUCAGUAUUUUUGAUAAAUUUGGAUCCUAUUCAGGUUAUAAACUUAAUCUCCACACGAGCGAACUUUUCCCCCUGAACUCUCUGGCUAAAAGUAUACCCCAACCUUUUUUCCCCUUUAAGUAUGCUAUGGAUGGAUUUAAAUAUUUGGGGGUGAUUAUUACUAAUCCGAUCAAUCAGCUUUUCUAGAAAAGAUUUUCUCCUCUUUUUGAGAGGUGUAAACUGGACUUCUCCCAUUAUCCCUAGUAGGUCGAGUUAAUUUGGUUAAAAUGGUUAUUUUGCCCAAGUUUAUAUACCUAUAGUAUAUAAUAUAUGCCCAAGUUUUUCACAUAUCCCCAUCCUUAUUAAGAAGGCUUUUUUGAUCACUUGAUCAAUUAAUAAGUUCCUUCAUUUGGGGCAAAAAACAUCCAUGCAUCAGAAGAUCAGUGCUACAGCUCCCCAAGGCUGUUGGUGGCUUGGCGUUGCCCAAGUUCUUACACUAUUACUGGUCCUGUAAUAUUAAUAAACUUUUAUACUGGUUUAACAACUCAACAGAUCAUGUGAUGCGCCCAGCAUGGGUAGAUAUGGAACUUUCAUCCUAUAACAUCUCUCUUCACUCCUUGUUGUGCUCUCAACUCCCUCUGACUGCCUCCAAAUUUACCUCAAACUCGUUGGUAAUGAACUCUGUUAGAAUUUGGAUUCAAAUUAGAAAAGGCCUGGGCCUUCAUAGAGCCUCAGACCUCUCCCCCAUUGUAAACAAUCACCUAUUUUUGCCCUCAUGUACGGAUUUAACCUUUCGGACUAAAUUUAAGGACCUUUAUGACCGAGACACUUUUAUGUCCUUUUCUGAGCUCUCAAAGAAAUUUGACUUACCAAAUUCCCACCUAUUCCGUUUCUUUCAGAUAAGACAUUUUAUUUGGAACCAGAACCCAGCAUUCCCUAGUCGUCCCCCGGAAACGCUAGUGGACUCCUUAUUGUCUCUUGAUCCUGAAUGUAGGCAGUUAACUUCUAGUAUUUACAGCCUUAUCGGUUCUGCUAUUGACAGUCCAGUGUCCGGUCACAGGGCUUCCUGGGAACCAGAGCUUGGAUUCACACUGCCUGAUGAUUAUUGGAAAAAGGUUUUACAGUUGGUUCACUCCUCCUCGAUUUGUGCAAGACACGGCCCCUUACGGUGUAAAGUUGUGCACAAAGUUCACAAGUAAUUUAUUUUAUUAUUUAUUUUUAUUUAUUUUAUUAUUUAUUUAUUUUUCUUUCCGUGUGUAUUUGUUGUAUUGAUAUGAUACUAUUGGAUGUUCAAUAUUGGACAGAGUUUUGCUCUCCUUGAAUGGGGUGGGAAUGUGGGAGGGGUAAAAAUGUGAGAACAUUUGAGGAAUGGAAGUCUUUUGUUACAUUGUUCUGCUCUGUUUUGUAAUUGCUUCCAAUAAAAAGUCUAUAAAAAUAAACGUGGUCUGGUGCGCCCCCC